ACUCAAAGGAAUUGACGGGGGCCCGCACAAGCGGUGGAGCAUGUGGUUCAAUUCGACGCAACGCGAAGAACCUUACCCAGGCUUGAACUGCGAGCGACCCUCCAUGAAAGUGGACUUCCGCAAGGACGCUCGUAGAGGUGCUGCAUGGCUGUCGUCAGCUCGUGUCGUGAGAUGUUGGGUUAAGUCCCGCAACGAGCGCAACCCUUGUUCUCUGUUGCCAUCAGGUGAUGCUGGGCACUCUGAGAAGACUGCCGGUGAUAAACCGGAGGAAGGUGGGGAUGACGUCAAGUCAGCAUGGCCUUUAUGUCUGGGGCUACACACGUGCUACAAUGGCCGGUACAAAGCGUCGCGAGCCCGCAAGGGGGAGCUAAUCGCAAAAAGCCGGUCUCAGUUCGGAUUGCAGGCUGCAACUCGCCUGCAUGAAGUCGGAAUCGCUAGUAAUCGCGGAUCAGCACGCCGCGGUGAAUACGUUCCCGGGCCUUGUACACACCGCCCGU
rnacentral:rRNA from 1 species